rnacentral:rRNA from 1 species
GAUGAACGCUAGCUACAGGCUUAACACAUGCAAGUCGAGGGGCAGCAUGAGACGGAGAUUCGUCAAAGUCUUGAUGGCGACCGGCGCAAGGGUGCGUAACGCGUGAGCAACUUGCCCGUUUCAGGGGGAUAACCGGUGGAAACGCCGACUAAUACCCCAUAGUAUCAGGUUUAGGCAUCUUUAUCUGAUUAAAGAACUUCGGAAACGGAUAGGCUCGCGUGACAUUAGCUAGAUGGCGGGGUAACGGCCCACCAUGGCGACGAUGUCUAGGGGUUCUGAGAGGAAGGUCCCCCANACUGGAACUGAGACACGGUCCAGACUCCUACGGGAGGCAGCAGUGAGGAAUAUUGGUCAAUGGUCAGACGACUGAACCAGCCAUGCCGCGUGAAGGUGACGGCCCUAUGGGUCUUAAACUUCUUUUGUAAGGGAGCAAUAAGGUGUACGUGUACAUCGAUGAGAGUACCUUACGAAUAAGCAUCGGCUAACUCCGUGCCAG